UACGGAGGGGGCUAGCGGUGUUCGGAAUUACUGGGCGUAAAGCGCAUGUAGGCGGUUGGACAAGUCGUGUGUUAAAGCCCCUGGCUCAACUGGGGGAGGUCAUGCGGGACUGUGCGACUUGAGGGCAAGAGAGGCACGUGGAACUCCCGGUGUAGCGGUGGAAUGCGUAGAGAUCGGGAAGAACACCAGUGGCGAAGGCGACGUGCUGGGUUGCACCUGACGCUGAGAUGCGAAAGUGUGGGGAGCAAACAGG
rnacentral:rRNA from 1 species